rnacentral:rRNA from 1 species
GACGAACCGUGCGAACGUUAUUCGGAAUCACUGGGCUUAAAGCGCGUGUAGGCGGGACGGCACGUCGGUCGCUGAAAGCCCCCGGCUCAACCGGGGAACGGGCGCCGAUACGACCGCCCUGGAGGGACGUAGGGGGGACCUGGAACUUCCGGUGGAGCGGUGAAAUGCGUUGAGAUCGGAAGGAACGCCCGUGGCGAAAGCGAGGUCCUGGACGUUUUCUGACGCUGAGACGCGAAAGCCAGGGGAGCGAACGGG